UACGGAGGGUGCAAGCGUUGUUCGGAAUUACUGGGCGUAAAGCGCGUGUAGGCGGCCUUCUAAGUCUGGUGUGAAAGCCCGGGGCUCACCCCCGGAAGUGCAUUGGAUACUGGAAGGCUGGAGUACCGGAGAGGAGGGUGGAAUUCCUGGUGUAGCGGUGAAAUGCGUAGAUAUCAGGAGGAACACCGGUGGCGAAGGCGGCCCUCUGGACGGAUACUGACGCUGAGACGCGAAAGCGUGGGGAGCAAACAGG
rnacentral:rRNA from 1 species